GACGAACGCUGGCGGCGCGCCUAACACAUGCAAGUCGAACGGAGCUGGGAGAAGCUUGCUUUUCUUAGCUUAGUGGCGAACGGGUGAGUAACGCGUGAGUAACCUGCCCUGGAGUGGGGGACAACAGUUGGAAACGACUGCUAAUACCGCAUAAGCCCACGAUCCGGCAUCGGCUUGAGGGAAAAGGGUUUAUUCGCUUCAGGAUGGACGCGCGCCCAUUUAUCUAGUUGGUGCGGUAACGGCCCACCAAGGCGACGAUUGGUAGCCGGACGGAGAGGUAGAACGGCCACAUUGGGGCUGGGACACGGCCCAGACUCCUACGGGAGGCAGCAGUGGGUGAUAUAGCACAAUGGGGGGAGCCCUGAUGCAGCGAGGCCGCGUAGAGGAAGAAGGUUUUCAGAUUGUAAAGUCCUGUAGUAAGGGACGAUAAUGACGGUACCUAACAAGAAAGCACCGGCUAACUACGUG
rnacentral:rRNA from 1 species